rnacentral:rRNA from 1 species
GUCCACGCCCUAAACGAUGAUGACUAGUUGUUGGAGGAGUUAAAUCCUUUAGUAACGCAGCUAACGCGAGAAGUCAUCCGCCUGGGGAGUACGGUCGCAAGAUUAAAACUCAAAGGAAUUGACGGGGGCCCGCACAAGCGGUGGAUGAUGUGGUUUAAUUCGAUGCAACGCGAAAACCUUACCUACCCUUGACAUGUCAGGAAUCCUCCAGAGAUGGAGGAGUGCCCGAAAGGGAGCCUGAACACAGGUGCUGCAUGGCUGUCGU